rnacentral:rRNA from 1 species
GGAUGAGUUGCGAACGGGUGAGUUACGCGUAGUAACCUGGCCUGGUAGCGGGGGAUAACUAUUGGAAACGAUAGCUAAUACCGCAUAACAUUGACUAUUGCAUGAUAGUUAAUUGAAAGGUGCAAAUGCACCACUACCAGAUGGACCUGCGUUGUAUUAGCUAGUUGGUGGGGUAACGGCUCACCAAGGCGACGAUACAUAGCCGACCUGAGAGGGUGAUCGGCCACACUGGGACUGAGACACGGCCCAGACUCCUACGGGAGGCAGCAGUAGGGACUUCUUCGGCAAUGGACGGAAGUCUGACCGAGCAACGCCGCGUGAGUGAAGAAGGUUUUCGGAUCGUAAAGCUCUGUUGUAAGAGAAGAACGAGUGUGAGAGUGG